rnacentral:rRNA from 1 species
GAUGAACGCUGGCGGCGUGCCUAAUACAUGCAAGUCGAGCGAACAGAUAAGGAGCUUGCUCCUUUGACGUUAGCGGCGGACGGGUGAGUAACACGUGGGUAACCUAUCUAUAAGACUGGAAUAACUCCGGGAAACCGGGGCUAAUGCCGGAUAACAUGUUGAACCGCAUGGUUCUACAGUGAAAGGCGGCUUUGCUGUCACUUAUAGAUGGACCCGCGCCGUAUUAGCUAGUUGGUGAGGUAACGGCUCACCAAGGCAACGAUACGUAGCCGACCUGAGAGGGUGAUCGGCCACACUGGAACCGAGACACGGUCCAGACUCCUACGGGAGGCAGCAGUAGGGAAUCUUCCGCAAUGGGCGAAAGCCUGACGGAGCAACGCCGCGUGAGUGAUGAAGGUCUUCGGAUCGUAAAACUCUGUUAUUAGGGAAGAACAAAUGCGUAAGUAACUGUGCGCGUCUUGACGGUACCUAAUCAGAAAGCCACGGCUAACUACGUG